rnacentral:rRNA from 1 species
UACGUAGGGUGCAAGCGUUGUCCGGAAUUAUUGGGCGUAAAGAGCUCGUAGGCGGUCUGUCGCGUCGGAUGUGAAAACCCAGGGCUCAACUCUGGGCCUGCAUUCGAUACGGGCAGGCUAGAGUACGGCAGGGGAGACUGGAAUUCCUGGUGUAGCGGUGAAAUGCGCAGAUAUCAGGAGGAACACCGGUGGCGAAGGCGGGUCUCUGGGCCGUAACUGACGCUGAGGAGCGAAAGCGUGGGGGGCGAACAGG